UACGUAGGGGGGCUAGCGUUGUCCGGAAUCAUUGGGCGUAAAGCGCGUGUAGGCGGUCCGGUAAGUCCGCUGUGAAAGUCGGGGGCUCAACCCUCGAAAGCCGGUGGAUACUGUCGGGCUAGAGUACGGAAGAGGCGAGUGGAAUUCCUGGUGUAGCGGUGAAAUGCGCAGAUAUCAGGAGGAACACCAAUUGCGAAGGCAGCUCGCUGGGACGUUACUGACGCUGAGGCGCGAAAGCGUGGGGAGCAAACAGG
rnacentral:rRNA from 1 species